rnacentral:ncRNA from 1 species
UAUUGUCUUCGAGCCCCUGUCCCUAAGGCGUCCGCUAUGGGACCCGGGCCGCGCCGGAGUAUUCGGUAUCAGGGCGCAGCGGGAAACGGCUGCACCUUCCGCAUUCGAAAAGGAGACA